UAUUUUCAAAGGUUUACCACGAGUAACAAAACAACGUUUGGUCUCUGCGGUUAAAUGUUCAUUUCCAAUCGUCACUCCAACAAAUUAAACUACACUAAAGCAACAGCAACAAGACCUGCUUAGAGGCCGUCAAUAAGCGACAGAAGUUGUCUCAUGCUGAGAAGUACCUGCAGGUCUGUCUGCAUACAGGGGUUGUUCCUGUUUCCUCCUACCUCCACCUGUGUGAAAAGAUCACAACCUGAACCACUAUGGAGUGGGACCUCGGGCGGGGCUAAAGCUCUAGCCACAGCUCUGCUAGUAAGACUGAGAAUACCAUCACCAAUCUUCUGCUGGAGGACAACGAUCUCCAGGGAGAGGAGGGCACAAGGUAUCUAAAGGAUUCCAUUCACACUUAUUUACCCAGUACACUCAAGUAAGACAACAUAAUGUUUGUGUUCAUGUGCAAAAGGAGCAGUGCCCUUCAAGCAACCAGCUUUGUCUUAAAGAAACAAAUAUCAUCUCUGAUAUGCUGUUAAGCAACUACUACAUCAAAUCCUUCAAACUGUCAGGGGACCAACUCAGUCUUACACCUCACAAGCCAUAUGUUAUUUAUACAAACUACUUCCAUUUUUGGAUUAUUAAUCUAAUAAUCCCCCUCCCUCAUCCUCGGAAAUAGUUUUGAUGACUCUGCAGCGAAAUACUUUGGUGAUGCUUUAAAGGCCAGUUCAAAGAAUCAUCAUCAUGAGUCCUUUUUACGAGCUUCUAAACAAUUUUCAUUAACAUGUGCAAAAAGGAACUGACUCACCUGAAUAUGCAUUAAGCGUCUCCUCUCAGGGUGAUUUAACGGCCAUAUUAAAACCUUGAAAUCUGCUUCACAUGUGAGACAAACCUGAAAUAGAGAUAGUGUUUCUGGAGGUGACGCAAAAACAGGCAGAUUUGUUAUAUUUAGUCUUUUUUGGUGUCAUCAGAGGUGCAAAGACACAGGGGAGAAAAGGGCACACACCAGCUUGAGAUCAUCUUAAAUGCAUGUGUAUUGACAUGUCUGACAAUGCCUCUGCUUUAUGUUGGUUUAACUGUGGCCAUCGUGGCUCGUUACUACAUUUGCUAUUGGAGUGUCCUGCUGUUAAGUCCUUGUGGUCAGAUGUGCAUGCCGUCAUGACAGGAAUUUUGCAUACUGUUCUUCCCUUCUCCCCCUCUGUUUGCAUUUUGGGCUACAAGCCCCAGACUAAAACUAGCCCUGCUGUCACACGCCUGUGGCCCCUUGGGUGCCUUAUGGUUAAAAGACUGAUUCUUCCAAACUGGAAGGAGCGAAAGCCAACAUGCUUCAUGAUGGACUCAUGGCUGGAGGACUACCUUGACCUGCUAAAUAUGGAGAGAGCUGCUGGUCUCUUAAAAGACUUUGACCAAGGUCUGAGUGGGCUCUGGGACAUUGUCAGGAGAGGUCUGGGUUAAUAAUUUUGUACUGUAACUAUGUGUGUUCAUGGUCCUCUGCAAGGUGAAUCUUUCUUAUUGUUAUUUACCUGUUGCUGAUAUAACUGCUAGAUGUUUUGUGGCGUAUCUGAACCCACCCAUCAUGAAUUGGUUAUGAAUUUUCAUGUACCCCUCACUAACCCCCCACCAGUGUUAUGUCCAGAGUUGUGGUGUCUCCUAUUAUAUUGUAUUUUUUCUUUCCUAUGUUUGUUUAUGUCUUG